CAAGAAUUGAGGGCUGCAACAAAUCCAUCUGCUAAAAGCCUGACAGAAACAUGUGAGGGUAUUACAGACAAUUUAUGAGUUUCCUCAAGAACGUCCUUCAAAAAGGACACUGCCCUGUUCAGUGCACGGGAUGGACAGUGGUCACUGGCAGGCUUUUCUAUGAUGUUCUACACUGUAGUAUCUGACUGGUUCACAACAUUUUAGAAUUUCUUUUUACAACACCCCUGUGAUGUAAGAUGGCAUUAUCCC